rnacentral:rRNA from 1 species
AUUGAACGCUGGCGGCAGGCCUAACACAUGCAAGUCGAGCGAGCGGCUGACGGGUGAGUAAUUUCUGGGAAACUGCCUGAUGGAGGGGGAUAACUACUGGACACGGUAGCUAAUACCGUAUACCAUCCGACGUGCCCAGAUGGGAUUAGCUAGUAGGUGGGGUUAUGGCUCACCUAGGCGACGAUCCCUAGCUGGUCUGAGAGGAUGACCAGCCCCACUGGAACUGAGACACGGUCCAGACUCCUACGGGAGGCAGCAGUGGGGAAUAUUGCACAAUGGGCGCAAGCCUGAUGCAGCCAUGCCGCGUGUGUGAAGAAGGCCUUCGGGUUGUAAAGCACUUUCAGCGGGGAGGCGUUACCCGCAGAAGAAGCACCGGCUAACUCCGUGCCAGCAGCCGCGGUAAUUC